CGAGCAGUGGAAUCUCCAUGGAGUCGUGGAGUCGGUGUGGCCUCGCAUCCACAGUGCACCCCGUGCUGGUGGAUGGCUCAGGACGCAGUUGUCAUGAGAGGUCUGCCGCUUGCUGGCAAGGAAGAUGGUCAAUUCUUCUGACCAACAGAGGCUGCCUUGAGUCCUGAUUUGGUGUGGCCCGGCAUCUAUGGUGCACCCAAUGCUGUUGCCGUGGGAGGCCUGCCGUCUGCUGAAAGGAAGAUGGUUGAUGCUUCUGAGCAAUGAAGGCCCCAUGGAGUCCUGGAUUCGGUGUGGCCUUGCAUCCGUGGUGCACCCCAUGCUGGUGGAUGGCUCAGGACGGGGCAGUUGCCAUGGGAGGCGCAGGCCUGCUGGAAGGAAGAUGGUCGAUUCUCCCAAGCAACAAAGGCCACGUAGAGUCCUGGUUUCAGUGUGGCCUGGUAUCCACAGUGCACCCCAUGCUGGUGGGUGGCUCAGGAUGCACACUCAUUUCCUCUGCACCUUCCCGGUGUCAUUGGCAUGGAAGGAAGGCCCUUGUCCAAGAAGGAUGGUCUUCGUCUUGUGUGAUCUUUGAGAUGCCAUGAGGCCCCUGGAUACAAAUGGUGUGGGCUCCUUUGGAGGCUUUUGGAUUUCUCCUGAAU
rnacentral:antisense_RNA from 1 species